rnacentral:rRNA from 1 species
UUAGCUGGUAGGUAGGGUAAUGGCCUACCUUGGGCGACGAUCCCUAGCUGGUCUGARRGGAUGACCAGCCACACUGGGACUGAGACACGGCCCAGAUUCCUACGGGAGGCAGCAGUGGGAAUAUUGCACAAUGGGCGCAAGCCUGAUGCAGCCAUGCCGCGUGUAUGAAGAAGGCCUUCGGGUUGUAAAGUACUUUCAGCGGGGAGGAAGGGUUGAGCCUGAACAGGGCUGGACCUUGACGUUACCCGCAGAAGAAGCACCGGCUAACUCCGUGCCAGCAGCCGCGGUAAUACGGAGGGUGCGAGCGUUAAUCGGAAUGACUGGGCGUAAAGCGCACGCAGGCGGUCAAUUAAGUUAGAUGUGAAAUCCCCGGGCUCAACCUGGGAACGGCAUCUAAGACUGGUUGACUGGAGUCUCGUAGAGGGGGGUAGAAUUCCAUGUGUAGCGGUGAAAUGCGUAGAGAUGUGGAGGAAUACCGGUGGCGAAGGCGGCCCCCUGGACGAAGACUGACGCUCAGGUGCGAAAGCGUGGGGAGCAAACAGGAUUAGAUACCCUGGUAGUCCACGCUGUAAACGAUGUCGAUUUGGAGGUUGCGGCCCUGAGCUGUGGCUUCCGAAGCUAACGCGUUAAAUCGACCGCCUGGGGAGUACGGCCGCAAGGUUAAAACUCAAAUGAAUUGACGGGGGCCCGCACAAGCGGUGGAGCAUGUGGUUUAAUUCGAUGCAACGCGAAGAACCUUACCUACUCUUGACAUCCUCAGAAUUUGCUGGAGACAGCGAAGUGCCUUCGGGAACUGAGAGACAGGUGCUGCAUGGCUGUCGUCAGCUCGUGUUGUGAAAUGUUGGGUUAAGUCCCGCAACGAGCGCAACCCUUAUCCUUUGUUGCCAGCACGUCGAGGUGGGAACUCAAAGGAGACUGCCGGUGAUAAACCGGAGGAAGGUGGGGAUGACGUCAAGUCAUCAUGGCCCUUACGAGUAGGGCUACACACGUGCUACAAUGGCGGAUACAAAGUGAAGCGACCUCGCGAGAGCAAGCGGAACACACAAAGUCUGUCGUAGUCCGGAUUGGAGUCUGCAACUCGACUCCAUGAAGUCGGAAUCGCUAGUAAUCGUAGAUCAGCAUGCUACGGUGAAUACGUUCCCGGGCCUUGUACACACCGCCCGUCACACCAUGGGAGUGGGUUGCAAAAGAAGUCGGUAGCUUAACC